CAGUCGCCACGGUAAUACGUAGGUGGCAAGCGUUGUCCGGAAUUAUUGGGCGUAAGGGGCUCGCAGGCGGUUACUUAAGUCUGAUGUGAAAGCCCCCGGCUCAACCGGGGAGGGUCAUUGGAAACUGGGAAACUUGAGUGCAGAAGAGGAGAGUGGAAUUCCACGUGUAGCGGUGAAAUGCGUAGAGAUGUGGAGGAACACCAGUGGCGAAGGCGACUCUUUGGUCUGUAACUGACGCUGAGGAGCGAAAGCGUGGGGAGCGAACAGGAUUAGAUACCCCAGUAGUCCCUGUCUCUUAUAC
rnacentral:rRNA from 1 species